GCAGCGGCCGCUGCCGUUGUUGUGGAGGGGCCGGUCAAGAUGGCGGCCGGGCAGGGGGGCGGCGGCGGCAACAACGGCAGCGGGAGCGGGAGCGGGACGACGGCCGGGAGCGGAGCGGCGGGGCUCGGCAUCCCCGCGCACCUGACUCUCUCCUUCUCCUCGGGGCCGCACUGGGGCGCGGCGGCUCUGCCGCAGUCGCACACGGUGCGCAGCCUGGAGCGGGCCCUGGAGGAGGCGGGCAGCUCGGGCAUCCUGUGCCUGAGCGGGAGGAAGCUGCGCGACUUCCCCGGCAGCGGCUGCGACCUGAGCGACACCACGCAAGCAGCUGCAGGGCACCUCAGGCGUGGCUCCGGAGAAACUCCUCCUGUGGUGAUUGGAAAGGAACCUUUGGUGUGUUGCAGCCGAGUGCCAGCCUGGUGGGCGGACUGAAAGUUCCUGUUAGUGUCUUUCCAGCAGCAGAAUCUAAGGGAUCCCUGGCUGUUUUCUCCUUAUUUGUUGGAGAGCUUUUGAACAGCUGCAGGAGUGAUUUUGCAGACAGAAGAUUCCGUGCUGCUUUUAGCCACAGUGGAGUGUCUAAUUCACAAGCAUAAGUGGCAAUGGCUGCUUUAGCCCACUGUUAGUUUGAACACCCUAGAAUGCUCUCCUUAGUGCGGCUGGAUGUGUAGCUGAGGAUAAAUAAGGCCAUAAAUGUGAUACAGUUUCCUGUCCGUCACUCUAUAGUCGGUCCACAAAGCACAGAAGCUGCAUCAGGGCUCCUCCAGCUCUCUGUCUCCAGAGAGGAGGCUAAAGAGCAGGAAGACCAGAAGGCUGGGGAGGAGGAAGGAACAAAGUGAACUUCCCUCUGUUCUCAGAGACCACAGUGAACUUGAAGAUGGUGGUGAAUUUCCCACCAUUCUGAAAGAUGACAGCAAAGCUCCAGCAGUGUGCAUCGAGGACAGGGAAUGUCUUGCAGUGUGGGAUGAGGAGUGGGAACAUCCUCAUCGCAGGAAGAAGGAGAAUAAUGAUCUCACAAUGUGGGAAGAGGAGGGCAGACAGCCAGUGGUGUGGGAAGAGCACAGUGAACAUCAUGCCGUGGGGGAAGGGGAGGGACAGCAUCUCCCUGCGUGGGAAGAGCACAGUGAACAUCCCGCUGUUUGGGAAGAGGAUAGUGAAGCACCACCUUUUAGGGAAGAGGACACUGAACCUCCCUUUGUCUGGGAAGAGGACACUGAACCUCCCUUUGUUUGGGAAGAGGACACUGAACCUCCCUUUGUCUGGGAAGAGGACACUUUGUCUGGGAAGUGAACCUCCCUUUGUUGAGGCAUCGUGGGCUGAGCAUUCUGACAGCAGCCAGAGGGGAGAGGAGAGAGGUGCCUCAUGCAUCUGAGCACGUCUGCUCUCUGUCUUGUCUGCCAGAGGAGGGUGUGGGGUGUGUGUGUCUGAGCAUCAGCUGUGCUCAGUGUUCCUCUGCAGGGCAUACUGUGAGCAUGGGGGAGCCUGCCAAGAAACACACUGAAGCUGAGCCAGCUGGCCAAGGCUACCUGUUGAUGAAGAUCUCUGGUUGGUGAUGGAGUACAUGGAUGGAGGAAAUUCACAGGAUAUUGCUAGACAGACAUGUCUAGCUGAAGGAGGGAUGGCAGCUGUCAGCUGUGAGGUGAGGGCUCCUGCUUGUGCUGCCCAUGGCUUGCACAUGAUGGUCCUUUGAAAGAGAUGGUGAGAACAGGAAUAGCUUCAUGCUCAGAUGUGUUGUUCUUAUGCUCUGGAGAAGAGACAGCCUCUUAAAUGAACUGCCUGUAAGUAUCCCUGCACUUCUGCUCUUUCUCUUCUAGUACUCUUUCAUACUGUUGUUGUACUCUGUCACUCUCUCUUUUGAUUUUGUUUGCUGUUCUCAACUUUGCCGUGGACCCUUUGUCUGGAGUUUCCACUGCACUCCUUGCUGGUCAAAGCAGUUUCUGGUGACAGCUUUGGUAAACUGUCCUUUCUUCUGUUGUAUAUUCAGGUUGCUAAUUCUUACCCUCGUGUUUUUUGAAUAAAAACUCUGGUAAACCUUAA